GACGAACGCUGGCGGCGUGCUUAACACAUGCAAGUCGAACGGAAAGGCCCUGCUUUUGUGGGGUGCUCGAGUGGCGAACGGGUGAGUAACACGUGAGUAACCUGCCCUUGACUUUGGGAUAACUUCAGGAAACUGGGGCUAAUACCGGAUAGGAGCUCCUGCUGCAUGGGGGGGGUUGGAAAGUUUCGGCGGUUGGGGAUGGACUCGCGGCUUAUCAGCUUGUUGGUGGGGUAGGGGCUUACCAAGGCUUUGACGGGUAGCCGGCCUGGGAGGGUGACCGGCGACAUUGGGACUGAGAUACGGCCCAGACUCCUACGGGAGGCAGAAGUGGGGAAUCUUGCACAGUGGGCGGAAGCCUGAGGCAGCAACGCCGCGUGCGGGAUGACGGCCUUCGGGUUGUAAACCGCUUUCGCCUGUGACGAAGCGUGAGUGACGGUAAUGGGUAAAGAAGCACCGGCUAACUACGUG
rnacentral:rRNA from 1 species